UUUUUUUUUUUUUUUUUUUUUUUGGCCAUGCCCGUGGCACAUGGAAAUUCCUGGGCCAGGGAUCAAAUCCCCACCAUAGCAGUGACCUGAGCCAUUGCAUUGACAACACUGAACCCUUAACCUGCUGUGCCACAAGGGAACUCCCACAAGUUGUAUAUUUUGAUAUGUUCAGUUUUCUGAAUGUAUAUUUUAUUUUUUUAAUUUUUAAUGGCUGCACCCACAGCAUAUUGAAUAUAUAUAUAUAUAUAUAUAUAUAUAUAUAUAUAUAUACUUUUUUUUUCUUUUUAUGGCAGCACCUUCAGCAUAUGGAAGUUCCCAAGCUAGGAGUUAAAUCUGAGCUGUAGCUGCAGGCCUACACCACAGUCAUAGCAACACUGGAUCUGAGCCACAUCUGUGAUCUACACCACAGGAUGCAGCAACAGUGGAUCCUUGACCAGUGGAACCAGGCCAGAGAUUGAAAACACAUCCUUAGGAAGAUUACAUUGAGCCACAAUGGAACCCCUUUAAUGUAUAUCUUAGUACAAAGUUUCUUAAGAGACGGUCACAAGCUUUGAGCUUAGAGAGCUGCAAUGUACAAGAUGAGGUGUUAAACAACAAAUUACACAAAUCAUUGUGGUUUUUUUUUGUCUUUUUGUCUUUUCUAGGGCCGCACCCGAGGCAUGUGGAGGUUUCCAGGCUAGGGGUCUAAUCGGAGCUACAGAUGCCAGCCUACACCACAGCCACGGCAACGUGGGAUCUGACCCACGUCUGCGAUCUACACUACAACUCAUGGCAAUGCCAGAUCCUUAACCCACUGAUUGAGGCCAGGGAUUGAACCCGCAAUCUCAUGGUUCCUAGUCGCACUUGUUAACCACUGAGCCACGACAGGAACUCCUACAAAUCAUUGUUUAAUGACAAUUGUGACAAGUUCUACAAUAAAGUAGAGGGUGCUAUGGGCUGUGGGGUGGGAAGAACUGAUCCAGUCUGGGAACAAUCAAGGAGGGCUUCUCCAAGGAGGUGAGGGAUAAGCUGAACUGUCAAGAAUAGGUAGGAAUUUGAGAGAGAAUGAGUCUCAACCCCUCCCUGACAAUGCACAAAAAUUAAUCCAAGAUGAAUCAUGGACCUAAACUGUGAAAGCUAACACUAUAAACUUCUAGAAGAAAACAUAUGGGAUUAUGUUCAUGAUCUUGGGAUAGGUGAAAAAUUCUUGGGCAUCAAAAGCACUCUACAUAAAACAAAAUUAUCAGGGGAUGAGAAAAAAGCAUUCAAGACAGAGCAAACAGUAUGUGUGAAGGCCCAGAGGGAGGAAGAGACAGUCUUGUUCUGGAAGAGCCGAGAAAAGGCCAGAAGUUGAGGAAGCAGUGAGAGAGGGAAGUGAAAGUCCAGAGGAGGCAGGGGCCAGAUGGCCCAGGGCUUUAAGGGUUGGGUUAGGAGUUGGGACUUUAUCCUGAGGGCACUAGGCAGGGAGCAAAGGGUGUCACAUAAGGGGAGUGGCAGGAGCAGCAAUUGAAGCAACAAUCGGGGAUAAUGUGACCUUAGCCUGGGUUUGCAAAGAGUAUUACCUUCUUGGAUGUGCCCAGGAUUGCAAGGGGUUGCCUACGCAGAAAGGAGAAGAGAAGGAAACACUCCCCUUUCUCCCUGUUCAGCAACCAGACAAGGCCAGGCUUGGAUUCUGCUUCCUUGCAAAUCAAGAUGUAGUUUUAUAACCUGAAAAGUCACUUAAUCCAGGUGCCAGGAUGAGGUGGGGCAUGGCAGGCGGGGACUUGGGCUGUGAGGUCCUGUCCUGCCAGCCUCAGCCCUGGUCUUGGAGGAGCUGGAGUCUGCCAGCUCCUACCCACCCACGCCCCAGCUGCUGUUACAGCCCCACCUCACCCCUGCUCAGCACCUGGACCUCCUCUCACCUUCUCUCUCCCUCCAGGAUGAGUCCCAGCUGGGAAGAAAGAGCCCAGAAGUCAGGAGUUUCUUCCACCCACUGCCCCUCCCAACACACACGUACCAACAUACCCUGCGCCAGAGCUGGAAUGGGACUGGGGCAACUAGGUCCCAGCAUCACUCAGGCCUCCUUCCUGCAAGGGGCUCAAGAAAGGCAGUGAAAGUGGCGCCUCUAUUCACUUCUACCAACUUUUUUUUUUUUUUUUUUUUUUUAAGGGCCUAACUCAUGGCAUACAUGGCAUAUGGAGGCUCCCAGGCUAGGGGUCGAAUCGGGGCUGUAGCUGCAAGCCUAUACCACAGCCACAGCAACGCAGGAUCCAAGAUGCAUCUGUGACCCACACCACAGCUCAGGGCAAUGCUGGAUCCUUAACCCACUGCACGAGGACAAGGUUUGAACCCAAACCCUCAUGGAUACUAGUCGGGUUUGUUACCACUGAGCCACAACAGGAACUCCCACUUCUACCAACAUUUUUGAGCACCUGCUGCAUGCCAGGCACUGGGUUACAGUUAAGAAGGUAUUGUUCCGGCUCUCCCUGGGAAUUCUCGGGGUAAUGGGGGAAAGAGCGCAAGGACACCAUUACAAGUGCUGUAUAGAGGUGCAAAGUGCAAGUGAGUCUGGAAAGUGAGACUGAUUUCACUUGGGGAACAGAGUGUGAACAUCAAGAAAAAUUUCCUCCAAGAGGUGACAUAUGAGCUGGGUCAUAAGGAGUAGUAAGACUGACAGUAAGAAAUGCUCUUUGUAGCAAAGGACAGUAUAAGAAUUACAGGAACUUGGGAGCGUCAGGUGCUGUGCUCAGCACCGUAUGGAUUCAUUUAAUCCCUACAAUGAUUCUAAGAAGAAGUAUGACAAUGAUGCCCAUUUUCCCAGAUGUGGUAACUGAGGCUUAGAGAAGGAAAUUGAUUUAUCUACAAACUUCCACAUCUGGUAAGUGGCAAAAUUCAGACUUGAACCCGGGACUGUCUGCUUGCAUGAUCUUAACAUCUACUCAUGGAGUGGCUUAGGCAAAGGACAUGUGGAAGAGAGAAGUAGGAGGUGAGAUUGGAGGGGUGGAGGCAGGGGUCCAGUAGUAGAAAACUUGGUGAAGAGUUUGGGCUUUAUCCAAAGAGCAAUGGGGAGCCAUGGAAGGUUCAUUAGUGAGGGAAGGGGUAAAGAGGGAUGGCACCCACAAUUAGCUUUCUGUUUUUAGAGGCUCACUUUAAAGGAGGAGAAAUUAGAGACAGAGAAACCUGCACGAAAAUCCAAGAAAAAGAUGGGGGUUGAAGGAUGGAGAAAGGAGGGAGCGCUGGGAGACGUGAAGCAGAGCCUGGGGACUGAAUGGCUCUGGCAGAUGAAGUGGAGGGAGGAAUCAAAGAUGAUGUCCCAGGCUUUGGCUUGUAUGUUCCAGAAAGAAGCCCAAGAAUCCAUCUUUAACACUGUAUUGCGCUCCCCCUCCCCUCACCAUGGCUCAGCUCCACACAUGGCACCUGCGAAACGCACUCCGGGAUGGUGCUUUGGUCUUCUGCAGAUACUCAGUGUAUCCAUCACCUGUUUGUGCCCUCAUUCACCCAAUAUUUACGAGCACUUAUUGUAGGCCAGAUGUUCUGGAAGCUGGGAUGGACAAGGAACAAGCAGAACCUGUCUUAUCAGUGAGGUAAUGAUUCCAGCUUGGGGUCUGGAUCUGAAUCCUGGUUCAGCGACUUCUUUAUGCUGAGUCCUGGCUCAGCCUCCAACUUGGCGUGACUUCAGGUGAGUUACCGAAUCUCUCGCUGUCUCAGUUUCCUCAUCUGUAAAAUGGGAAAAUGAACAGUACCUGCCACAGAGAUUCAACGGUUUAUCUAUGGAAAGUCUCUGGCACUGGGUAAGCAUUUUAGGUCAGCUAUUAUUAUUGCAGAGUUCACAUUCUAGUGGGGAGACAGAACCAAUUACACAAUUAAUUAUUUAAUUACAACAGUGAUAAACACUUUGAAGGAGCAGCACAGUCUGGAAGUUGAAAGUGAGGGGGGGCUCCCCAGAGCAAGGGAUGGUCCUGCUGAGCUGAGCUGAGUGAGCUGAGGCUGGCCAGGUGAAGCAGGAGGGGGGAGAGGGCCAUUUAAGGUGGAGGGGUCUCUGAGUAGGUCGACCCUCAGGCAGAAGGAGGUGCUGAAAGGUUUGUAUUUCUGUAAUUUUUUUGUUUUUUUAGGGCUGCACCCAAGGCAUAUGGAAGUUCCCAGGCUAGGGCUCAAAUCAGAGCUACAACUUCUGGCCUACACCACGGCCACAGCAACACCAGAUCCUUAACCCACUGAGCAGGGCCAGGGAUUGAACCUGCCUCCUCAUGGUUUGUUACCGCUGAGCCGCAAGGGGAACUCCUGUAUUUCUGUAAUUUUACCUCUUUGGAACCUCCAAACAGUGCUGAAAAAGAGAUCAGGCAGAUACUCUGCCCCCAUUUUCCUGAAAGGGCGCUAAGGCCCAGAGAGAAACAGUGACUUAGCUGGUCAGUACAGAGCCUCGUGGUUGUUGCUCUGCCCCCACUGAUCCAGGGGGCUGGAGGGGACAGGCUGAGAGGAGGCCUUUGUCCCCUUGCCUGCUGGGGUGGGAGCAGCAGGAGCUGAGGCCGCAGCUGGCCACCAGCAGCUGUGGCGGCCAGAGCUGCAUUCCUUCCCCUGCCAGCAGAGCAAGUCCAGGCUCAUGGCAGGGGCUGGGAACGUUCUUUUUGUUUUUUUUUUUAAAAAAG
rnacentral:lncRNA from 1 species